rnacentral:rRNA from 1 species
GAUGAACGCUGGCGGCGUGCCUAAUACAUGCAAGUCGAGCGAACAGACGAGGAGCUUGCUCCUCUGACGUUAGCGGCGGACGGGUGAGUAACACGUGGAUAACCUACCUAUAAGACUGGGAUAACUUCGGGAAACCGGAGCUAAUACCGGAUAAUAUAUUUAACCGCAUGGUUCAAUAGUGAAAGACGGUUUUGCUGUCUCUUAUAGAUGGAUCCGCGCCGCAUUAGCUAGUUGUUAAGGUAACGGCUUACCAAGGCAACGAUGCGUAGCCGACCUGAGAGGGUGAUCGGCCACACUGGAACUGAGACACGGUCCAGACUCCUACGGGAGGCAGCAGUAGGGAAUCUUCCGCAAUGGGCGAAAGCUUGACGGAGCAACGCCGCGUGAGUGAUGAAGGUCUUCGGAUCGUAAAACUCUGUUAUUAGGGAAGAACAAAUGUGUAAGUAACUAUGCACGUCUUGACGGUACCUAAUCAGAAAGCCACGGCUAACUACGUG